UGGGGGAUAUUGCACAAUGGGCGAAAGCCUGAUGCAGCGACGCCGCGUGGGGGAUGAAGGCUUUCGGGUUGUAAACCUCUUUCGCUAUCGAACAAGGCCCGCUUAGGGUGGGUUGAGGGUAGGUGGAGAAGAAGCGCCGGCUAACUACGUGCCAGCAGCCGCGGUAAUACGUAGGGCGCGAGCGUUGUCCGGAAUUAUUGGGCGUAAAGGGCUUGUAGGCGGCUUGUUGCGCCUGCUGUGAAAACGCGGGGCUUAACUUCGCGCGUGCAGUGGGUACGGGCAGGCUUGAGUGUGGUAGGGGUGACUGGAAUUCCAGGUGUAGCGGUGGAAUGCGCAGAUAUCUGGAGGAACACCGAUGGCGAAGGCAGGUCACUGGGCCAUUACUGACGCUGAGGCUCGAAAGCAUGGGUAGCGAACAGG
rnacentral:rRNA from 1 species